rnacentral:sRNA from 1 species
CCUAUUAUGGUAUAAUACACUAAGAUACUCACAGUAAGAAGUUAAACGGUGGAAGGUACCAUCUCCUAUAUGAAAGGAGGUGAUGCCUAUGGCUACUUUUGAUGCCUUAUCUUUAAUGAUCAGCUUUGGCUUGCUUAUUAUAGCCAUUCUUUCAUUUCAUGAUAAAGACCAAAAGUAAAA